UGGGGAAUAUUGGGCAAUGGGGCGAAAGCCUGACCCAGCGACGCCGCGUGAGGGAAGAAGGUCUUCGGAUUGUAAACCUUAGUUAGCAGGGAAGAAGAAAGUGACGGUACCUGCAGAGAAAGCCACGGCUAACUACGUGCCAGCAGCCGCGGUAAUACGUAGGUGGCGAGCGUUAUCCGGAAUUACUGGGUGUAAAGGGUGUGUAGGCGGGCAAACAAGUCAGAUGUGAAAACUAUGGGCUUAACCCAUAGCCUGCAUUGGAAACUGUUAUUCUUGAGUGGAGUAGAGGCAAGCGGAAUUCCGAGUGUAGCGGUGAAAUGCGUAGAUAUUCGGAGGAACACCAGUGGCGAAGGCGGCUUGCUGGGCUCUAACUGACGCUGAGGCUCGAAAGUGUGGGGAGCAAACAGGAUUAGAUACCCUGGUAGU
rnacentral:rRNA from 1 species